rnacentral:lncRNA from 1 species
ACAUGAUAGGGGAGCUGGAGGAACCUGUCGUCUCCGCCAUCGAGUGCCCCUCCGAGCUGGGGUUGGACGCUGCCAGUUUGCACAGCAGCAGGGAGACAAGAGACACACAGCCACAGAGGACAAGGCCAUAUGAGAUGGAGGCAGAGACUGGAGAGAUGCGGCCACAAGCCAAGGAUGCGUGGGGCCACCAGGAGCUGGGGGAGGUGAGGAACAGAUUCUCCAGAGAGCCUGCAGAGGGAACCAGCCUACCAACACCUUGGUGCUGGGCUUCUGGCCUCAGAACUCAGACAGUGAAUCUGUGUUGUUUGAAGCCUCCUAGUUUGGUCCUUGGUUACAGCAGCCCCAGGACACUCAGUCCCCAGCAGCCCCUGCAGCAAAUCUCAGUGUCUCUCCCCCCAUCUGUUUGCAGAGGCCCCAUCAACGAACAAAUGCAGACAACUCUUCCUGGAGUUUUGCAUUAAAGACAAGAAGCUGGGGGCACAGCGAGGGGGACAUGAGGUCAAGGCGCUGCUGCUUUGUUAGGUAGGGGAGAUUGAGCAUGUUUGUAUCCUGAUGGGAAUGGACAAGGAGCAGGAGCAUCUGAUGGCACAGCAACCAGGGGGCCACCCCUUAAGGACAGGUGGGCCGGCUUGCCUUGGAGCAUGGGUGCUUGCUCACAGGCUCAGGGCAAGGCACAGAUGCGGGAGGCACAGACGCGGCAGUGGGAGCAGCUGGGUCCAUCUUCUCCCAGCUCUGGGCACAGGUGGGAGGCACAGUGCGUGCUUUCCCUGCAGGCUUCCUGUGCUUCGCCCCGAACCAUCUCCCCAGGUCUGAGUUCCUCUGCUGGUCCAGGAGGGUCUCAGUGCGGUGGGACAAACUCGUUCCAUUGGUGGAUGGAGACACACCCAGUGUGGACAGAGGCUGCAAGCAUCGGAGGGCGUGUCCAUGCGGCAGUAUUGGUGUCAUGGCCAUAAGCUUGGCACUUCCUACAGACUCCGGCCUUGCAUUUUCAGCAGCUGGAGCUGUUCACAGCAUCCUUCUCACAGGAGUUUUGGGAGCACAACCAGGUGUUUCUCUGAUCCGUAAGAGCCUCCUGCCUGUUCAUCCAUCAACAGCCUCUGGGGACACCUUCGGCAGCAGGAAUCACUCGUGUUGGGUACUGAGUUUGAAUUUCUGUGCCCACCUCUGUGCUGGCACAAAGGGGCUGCUAUGUGGAAGCAGAAUGUGGGGCCCUUGCUUUAAAGACCUCAGAGGCUGGUUGAAGGGAUAAACCUCACACCCCCAAAAUUGAGAGAAAACAUCAAGGGAGCUGCACCGCAGCACCACCUUGCUCUCUGGGCUUCAGCACCAGGGAGGCGGACAGCUCCAUGCACCGUGGCCGCCACCGCCCAUCCAGGACUCCAGCUCCCCGCAUCAUCGCUCUGCUUGGCUGUCGUAGGAGGAGAGCGGCUGCUGCUGUGCAUGGGUGCUCGGGGGCGGUGGGGGGUGGGGUGCAGAGGAGGCACCACCCUACCCGGGGCCAUCACCAACCAAUGGGGAUGGGAGCGGGUAGAUAAAUGCCCCAGCCUCCCCAGCGUCGGUGGACAGUUUGGAAAUGCAUUCUCCAUGGCUUCCCAGAGGGCCCCCAGCAGGCCUGAGCAGCAGCUCUUGUGAAACUGCCCUCCAUGGGCUGCUCUCUCUUCCUGUCUCACUGUGUGCUCCGUCCCUCACUUCAGCUUCCUGGUCUCACAUCCCAAACACACUACCUUCGUCCAAGUCCUUGUCUCCACCAGGGCUUACAUUUGGGGUGCCUAGAAAAGGAGAGAGCAUAUAAUCAAUGCCAGGGUGAGUGGGGGGACACCCAGAGCCAUGAGGUCCCAAGGAGGGGGCGAUGGCAGGGUGGCCCGUGAGGCAGGUGGUCUGGGCCCAAUCCCCAGCUCAGGAUGGACAGAAGGCAGGAGCAGCCUCGGUGGGGGCUGGUGACAGUGUGAGCUGGCCCAGCAGUGGGUGGGCUUGGCUCCAAGGGUGCCACAGGGACUGUGAAGCAGGCUGGAGAGGGUGGCGAGCGGGCCUCCAGUGGGAAAACCAGGCAUGGCACUGAGGCGGGCGGGUAAGUUCAGCCCUACACUCCUCCUCCCGGCCGGACUCUCACGUGGAUCUCUCCUUCUGGCUGUGCAGGUUGGAUCUAUGAACACGAGACACAGAAACACCAGCUGGAGGAGCCCAGGAGGCCCAGCAGCGGGAACCAUCGUAGUCCAUGGGCCACUGAGUGCCCGGACCAGGGCCCCGGGGCUUCCUGACAGCAGGAACAACAGGAAUCAUUCAAACCCUGGAGCCCAGAGGGCAGGACAGGAGCGGCCUUUUGUCCCCCGCGGGCAGGCCAGGGAGGUGGACAGGCCGGGAGCCUGAAGCCUGAGCAGCUGGAUGCUCGCUCAUUCUCCCGUGGUCACUGUGUUCCCGGAGCCCCAACAGGAGGCCAAUUGUCCCACGGGGCGGUGCCUGGUGGGUGUGGUGUCUUGGCGGCAGCCACUGCCUGGCUGUUCUCAGGAUCCCAAUCCCAGGUGAAGGCUGCAGUCCUCUUGCUGUGUGUGGACUAUUUAGCUCUGUGGGCGGCCACCUUGCCAUGGGGCCACAGCAGCCAUUCCAGAGGCUCCCCCAGGGCCCUCCUCGCCCAGGGUGGGGGUGCUCCCGGGUGUGGCCUGGCUGAGGAGUCUCACUCGCAGGAAAGGUGGCGUGUGACGGGCUGGAGCCGGCCUGCGAAGUCUGCCUGGUGGCCAUGGCUCAGGGGCCUGUGUCUCCCGGACGCCCCCAGCGGGGCCUCUCUUGAAGGGACUUUGUGCUCCUGCCAGGAGAAAACAGCCCUAACAGCUGCCUCCUGGGCCAUUUCCAAACAUUCGUGUGUCAGGCCAGAGAGCGCCAGUUUGUUGCCCUUUUGAGUGGUUCCAAACGUGUGGAGUUGGGGCCCUGGCAGCUUCGGAACACCAGCCCCCCUUCACCGAGGCGUUCGUCAUCACCAAGCCUCAGCCAGAGAUGUUCAACUGGAAAAACAAUCACGGACCCCCGUGGGGGAAGCAGCUUCUGGUCUGGGGACAGUCGUGAGCUCUGCAUGCAGCUGCCGGUGUCCCUUCUCGGUGCCUGGCGGGUAUCAGGGCUCACCCUUGGCCUGGCCACACCUACCGCCUCUCAGGCCCACACCUCUUCCUGGAAGACACCUGGAGGCUUCAACACCGGCUCACGCCCUUUCCUGGAAGAAACCUGGAGGCUCUGACGCCGGCCCACACUCCUUCCCGGAAGACACCUGCAGGCUCCGACACCAGCCCACACUCCUUCCCGAAGAAACCUGGAGGCUUGGACGCCGGCCCAUACCCAUUUUGGGACACCAGGGGCUUCAAUAUCUGUGGCAUCAGCUCCUCAGCUCUCUCUUCCCUCAGCAUCCCACUGACCCGAAAUUCCAGGAGAUCCCGAGAUGGGCCAAACACAAAAC